UCCCAGACAGGUCUGAGGACGCCUCCCAAAACCCUGGACAGGACUCCAAGCUUAGAAAUCAGCUCGAAACCUCAGCAGCGCCCCAUGCCCUCCGGGAUGCCUCGCAGACGAGAGCCGUUUUCCUGGGAAUCCGAGUGGAGGGGAACAUGUUCCAUGCCACGUCCUCUCCUAUGAACCGUGUUGAGACGGGCUUUCAGGAGGAGCAACGUCAACGUUCUGCUUCAUUCAAAAGAAAGCUGUAAUUAGGUUUCCGAUCUUUGCUUCCUGGAACCACGGACGUAUUCUGAAU
rnacentral:lncRNA from 1 species